ACUCGAGAACUCACCAGGUAUAUUGAAGAGACUGAAGAAUUUGCCAUCAAUGGAAUAGCCCAGAAUAGACACAUACUUGACAUGAUUGUUAAAGAACUUGUGGAGAAAUCGAGGAUGACCGGACUGGAAGUCAAGGAAAGAAUGCAGCAUCUGACUCCUGUUAUGUUUGAAGAUUUUAUAGAACCAUUUCAAGUAAACUUAGAAGAGGAGGGACCGCUUCCGGUGAAUCCUCGUUUACACUAUCAACCGCUUGAUGUGUAUCCUGCUCCUCUCCAUAGAUGCUGAUGUUUCUGUGGCUUCCAGCCGAGUACAGGAAGGAGAUUGCUAAAUACGUGCAUGAAGAACACAUUGAAGCUGCUUUGUUGGGUGUCUCAGAAGAAUUUUGUCUGCUGACUUUCUGGAGCCACAAAGUCUGAAAGUGGAUAGUAAUGUUAUGCGGCAAGUGUUUCAGAUUAUGAGUGAAGCUUUGCAGAAUAAAUAAAUUUAACUUUCAAGAUCUUUACAUCAAAUUUGUGAAGAUUUGAUCAUGUAAAAAACAUGGUGUAAAAAUUUUAAGAGUUUGUUGUGAAGGUGCUAUAUAUGAUCAGUCCUAUUGUUCUGUACUUCUAAGAAUGCAAUAUUCU